UGGGGAUUAGCCAAGCGGUAAGGCAACGGACUUUGACUCCGUCAUUCCCAGGUUCGAACCCUGGAUCCCCAG
rnacentral:tRNA from 1 species